GGAAGCGCCAAACCGAUUGGCGACGGUGCCCGUCUUGAAAACGGUGUGGGCUGCUACGCAGCCUUGGGCGUUCGACUCGACCCCGCUUCCGCCA
rnacentral:tRNA from 2 species